CUCGGCGCCCCCCCCCCGCGGGGCUCCGCCGCGGCGGCCCGCGGAGCCGAGCGCGGCGCCGCUUUGCAGCGCUGCUGCAGGGACGAGCACGCAGAGGGAGUGGGAAGGCGAAGAGGUGCCUUUGUGGCAACGACGAGUGGAUCUUCGCUAGUUAUUUCCUGCUUGCUGUUCUUUUUUUCCCCUUGCACUUUUCUUUUUAAAGGAAGAGGACCUUUCUCCUUUUUUUUUUUUUUUUUUUUUUUUUUUUUUUUUUUUUAAGAACAACCCUUCCUGGAUUUUUUUCCCCCUUGUUCCCCCCCCCUCUCCCCCCUCCCCUUGCUGUGGCCUCUUGUUCAGCGUGUGGCGUGACCGUGAUGAAGAAAUGUUCCUGGGAGCCGGGCAGGGCGAUCUUUUCACGUAAUGAGUCAGGGCUUUGCCGACGGAAGGAGCCGGCUCCGGGGAGCGGCGGGCUGCGUCUCCCCAGCGCAGACGCCGCGCCGGGCGAGCGGCGCCGCUGCCCGCGCCCCGCGCCGCGCCGGUGCACCGGCCCGGGCACCACCGAGCGAAGUUCUCAGGAAGCAGAACGCUGAGGCUGGAAAGCUUCUAGACACCCUGCUGAAUAGUGAAAGUCCUGCUGCUCAUGGGAUAAGUCCUGACUCUUUCAAGUAAAUGAAAAUAUUUCCCAGCACAUUAUUAAAGAAGCAACAAAUGUAGAAUAAUGACAGGCAUCUCUACACUGUUUCAACUCUAGCUUGAAAUACAGUGAAACAGAGGAACACAAGUAGGUGUGUUCUUCACUUUGAGAAGAAAUCCUGACAGAUGCUUUGAGUGCUGGAUCUAAUAAAUCACUUUGUUAUUCUG